UUAUUAGUUCUAAAUUCUCCAAAAUUAAUGAAAAUUUAUUUAAAAUUGAAUAUUUUCCUCAUUCUCUUUCAUUGGCUCCAUAUUUUUUGAUAAACAACCGAAUACAUUUUCAUUUUCAUAUAUUGUUAGAAAAAUAAAUUACGUAUUCUCGAUUUUAAAAGUAACUCAUCAAAAACAUCAUAUUGUUUCUGUAAAAUAAGUUUAAAAAAUAUUAAUUUAAAAAUUAAUACCAAACACACCCUUAAUAACAAUGAUUGAAGUUGAGGUUUUGCCAUCUUUAAUCAGUGUUACUUUGAAAAUCAUGUUUCACGACAUAUCAAAUCGUGUUUCGCGACAUAUCCACGGGAAAAAUAAAUUAUGUGUAUCACAAAAUUAAAAUAAAUUUCGGACAAUAUUUUUUUUAUAGUUAUUUAAUCAAAAGUCGAUUGUCGCUUUUUGAGUACAAAUAAAAAAAAAAAAAAUCUUGGACGGGCCAUAAAGGACAAUUGUGCAAAAGUUAAAUAAGACAAAACAAAAAGGAUUCAUUACAAGAUAACCACGAAACUAUUAUUUUAUUUUUGUUUUAUAGUCCGUUCAAAACAUAACAAAACAAAACAAAAUGUAUAUAUAUUUUUUUGGUUGAGAUUGAUUUUUUCCAAUAAAAGUUUUGACAUUAAAGAAAUGAUAAAAUAUUAGUGAAAUUUUAUAGUUAAGUGGAUCUAACGACUGGUGCAACUGUGGCACGGUACCACAGUUGCACUGUAGCCUGACCCUAUAAUUAUUUAUCAUGAAAAGAUCGUGUGACCAUUAACUCGAUUGUUUUUUUUAUAUAAGAUUCAAAUUUAAUUUUUAAGUGUGUCAAUGUCAACCCAUUUUAUUAGGUGACAUAAGUAGUCAAUUAUUAAAUGAAUUGUGAUGAAUCACUUUGUAUGUUUUUCAUGUUGGAUUCAAAAUUCACCUGUCUGUUAUUAGCAUACAUUUCAUAUGUUACGACAUGACGAUUUAUUUGUUUUCUAUUUUUACUUCCGUUAAGAAUAGAAUUUGAAAAUUUUGGAUUUAUGUGUUACACAUCAGUUUUGUGGUAACACGUUCCUAAUCCUCCUAUAUGUGUCUUCUUCGACCGACGUGAUUUCACAAUAUUUUAAAUGAAGCUCCUAAACCAAAUAACUUAGAGUAUCUAUAAAUGAUUUGAAGAGUUACAUCAAUAUUUAAA
rnacentral:lncRNA from 1 species